GCUUAACGCGAAGAACCUUACCCACCUUUGACAUCCCGUGCUACCUAGAGAGAUCUAGGGUCCCUUCGGGGCGCGGAGACAGGUGCUGCAUGGCUGUCGUCAGCUCGUGUCGUGAGAUGUUGGGUUAAGUCCCGCAACGAGCGCAACCCUCGCUUCUAGUUGCCAGCAUUUAGUUGGGCACUCUAGAGGAACUGCCUGCGCCAAGCAGGAGGAAGGCGGGGAUGACGUCAAGUCCUCAUGGCCCUUACAGGUGGGGCUACACACGUGCUACAAUGGCGGUGACAAAGGGAUAAUCCCUAAAAGCCGUCUCAGUUCGGAUUGUCCUCUGCAACUCGAGGGCAUGAAGUUGGAAUCGCUAGUAAUCGCGGAUCAGCACGCCGCGGUGAAUACGUUCCCGGGUCUUGUACACACCGGGG
rnacentral:rRNA from 1 species